CGGUAACAUGACUAGCUUGCUAGUUGAUGACGAGUGGCGGACGGGUGAGUAACGCGUAGGAAUCUACCCAGUAGCGGGGGAUAAGCCAGAGAAAUUUGGUCUAAUACCGCAUACGCCCUUCGGGGGAAAGCAGGGGAUCUUCGGACCUUGCACUAUUGGAUGAGCCUGCGUGAGAUUAGCUUGUUGGUGAGGUAAUGGCUCACCAAGGCGACGAUCUCUAGCUGGUCUGAGAGGAUGAUCAGCCACACUGGAACUGAGACACGGUCCAGACUCCUACGGGAGGCAGCAGUGGGGAAUAUUGCACAAUGGGCGCAAGCCUGAUGCAGCCAUGCCGCGUGUGUGAAGAAGGCCCUAGGGUUGUAAAGCACUUUCAGCAGUGAGGAAAGGUUAGUAGUUAAUACCUGCUAGCUGUGACGUUAACUGCAGAAGAAGCACCGGCUAACUCCGUGCCAGCAGCCGCGGUAAUACGGAGGGUGCGAGCGUUAAUCGGAAUUACUGGGCGUAAAGCGCGCGUANGUGGAUUGGUCAGUCAGAUGUGAAAGCC
rnacentral:rRNA from 1 species